GCGCAAAUGGUUUAGUGGUAAAAUCCAUCGUUGCCAUCGAUGGGCCCCCGGUUCGAUUCCGGGUUUGCGCA
rfam:Pichia guilliermondii ATCC 6260 scaffold_5 genomic scaffold, whole genome shotgun sequence.